CCUACGGGAGGCAGCAGUGAGGAAUAUUGGUCAAUGGCCGUAAGGCUGAACCAGCCAAGUAGCGUGAGGGAUGACGGUCCUAUGGAUUGUAAACCUCUUUUGUCAGGGAGCAAAGGGCGCCACGUGUGGCGCUUUGCGAGUACCUGAAGAAAAAGCAUCGGCUAACUCCGUGCCAGCAGCCGCGGUAAUACGGAGGAUGCGAGCGUUAUCCGGAUUUAUUGGGUUAAAGGGGUGCGCAGGCGGAAUGUCAAGUCAGCGGUAAAAUUUCGGGGCUCAACCCCGUCGUGCCGUUGAAACUGGCGUUCUUGAGUGAGCGAGAAGUAUGCGGAAUGCGUGGUGUAGCGGUGAAAUGCAUAGAUAUCACGCAGAACUCCGAUUGCGAAGGCAGCAUACCGGCGCUCAACUGACGCUCAUGCACGAAAGCGUGGGUAUCGAACAGGAUUAGAUACCCCAGUAGUC
rnacentral:rRNA from 1 species